AACAACAACAAUAACAACAAAGGCUGCCUGUUGGUAUCAGGACAACCGCGCACCAGCAUCACAAAGCUCUCUGUAGACAAGGGUGCCAGGGAGCGUGUGGCCAACAUUACAAGGAGAUAAAGGGCGUUGCCUUCUCCCCUCAGAGCACUGGGUGCUGACUUGGUCUCUUAGCCAGUCCCUACAGGGAAGUCCAUCAGCACAAGCUCAGCACGGAAUUGCCCAGUUCUUUCUAAAAUCUCAGGUCUGCACAGGAAAGGCAGGUAACUGAUGUUGUGUAAGCAGCCCCAGGUCUCACAUGAGACUGCAUUCAGGAUGUCAGUUAUUUGAAGACUUGUGUGGGAUGAAGGAUCCAUUUCCAAGAUGGCUCACUUACGUGGCUGGUGAAUCGUUGCUGGUUGUCAGCCGGAGACCGAAGAUCCUCUGCACGUGGGCCUCUCCACAGGGCUGCCUGAGAAUGCUCACAACGUGGUGCCUGGCUUCCCCCAGAGCACCUGUGGAAAUUUCUCGUCCUCUGUGGCACUUCUGAGUUGAAAGAGUUUGCUGACCUCUGGUUACCGACAGUCAGAAGAGAACAGAGAGCAAGCAGAAAACAUUUCUCCUGGACGCCCAGGGCCACUGUGGAGCCCAUGUCUGUGCUGUUUUAUCCCAACUGACUGACUGUAAGAAGAAGGCAGGCCUCCAAUCUACGGUGAGUGGAAGGAGGUUUCUGCUCCAGCAGCCCUAGAGGGUGCGUUAUAAAUGAACACCUUUCUAGAUACGAAUCGGGAGAAACGAAUCUGUUAGCCAUGAAGCAGGAGUGGAGGACACACACUGGUGUGAAGAGAACACGGUGAGCAGACAUGACUUAGUACCACCUGCGUACCCGUGCACCACAUGAAAUCUACACAGAAGUCUUCGUGAUAAUUCCUUUUGGUAAUGAGGCCUAUCUACUCAGAAUCCACACUAGAACCAACAGUUUUAUCUCUUAUUAAUAUUAAACCUCCUCAUAUAUAUGCAUUAUGAAUAGGAAUAGUUGAGUUUCUGUUAUUCUUGUAAUGUUCAUUCACUUCACAAAGAUUUAGAAUUUACUGUGGACCAAGCACCAUCAAGGCAUGGGCUACUCGAGAUAAGCACAGAGUUAUCUUCCUAGAAAUUUAGGGGUAGAAAUGUGUUUUGAUUUUCCCAUCCCAUGAUUGUCAGAAAUGGUGGGUCUUUGAAGAAUUUCCUUAGGCUAUUAUUCCAGAAUAAAAUGGGAGUCUGUUUCACUAACAAUUAAGCAAAUCUAUUCAUUCUGAACACUUUCACUUCUUCCUUGAAAUCGUGUUUCUCUCUAGUGACGUGCCCUCGGUUAUGAGCAUAUACAACUUUUUGUCUCUCUUGACUAUAUUAUUUGAAGUUGUUGCUGCCACUUUUUUCAGAUAUAAAACCACUGGCACAUGUAAUCCUUAGGUAAGAAUACAGGUCAUGUAGUUUUCUGCUCUUAAAUGUCAGAGUGCCAAGUGUGUUUACUGGGUAUUGGUGGGGUUUUUUUUAGUCAUA